AGGUGCCAACAAAGUACGAGAACAUGUACAGCAACAUAAAGCACGAAGGAAGAAGGAAAUAUUCCGGUAUGGUGACGGCCAUGGACGACAUGGUAGGGACCGUGACGGCCGCCCUGAAGGAGAAAGGAAUGUAUAUUGACACACUCUUCGUCUUCACUGCCGAUAAUGGUGGUGCGCACAUAUUCCAUGCCAGCAAUUACCCCCUGCGAGGGGCUAAAGUACAGUG